ensembl:snRNA U1 U1 spliceosomal RNA
AUACUUGCCUGACAGGGGAGACACCACAAUCAGGCAGGUGGUUUUCCUAGGACAAGGCUCAUCCCCUGCACUCUGGGUGUACUGAACCCUGUGACUUCCCCAAAUGCAGGAAACUCGAAUGCAUAGUUUUUCUUUUCUUUUAUUUUCUCAUGGCC